CUUCUUGGGUGGCGAGUGGCGAACGGGUGAGUAAUAUAUCGGAACGUACCGAGCAGUGGGGGAUAACUAAUCGAAAGAUUAGCUAAUACCGCAUAUUUUCUGAGGAAGAAAGCAGGGGACCAUUUGGCCUUGCGCUGUUUGAGCGGCCGAUAUCUGAUUAGCUGGUUGGUGGGGUAAAGGCCUACCAAGGCGACGAUCAGUAGCGGGUCUGAGAGGAUGAUCCGCCACACUGGGACUGAGACACGGCCCAGACUCCUACGGGAGGCAGCAGUGGGGAAUUUUGGACAAUGGGCGCAAGCCUGAUCCAGCCAUGCCGCGUGUCUGAAGAAGGCCUUCGGGUUGUAAAGGACUUUUGUCAGGGAAGAAAAGGAUAGGGUUAAUACCCCUGUCUGAUGACGGUACCUGAAGAAUAAGCACCGGCUAACUACGUGCCAGCAGCCGCGGUAAUACGUAGGGUGCGAGCGUUAAUCGGAAUUACUGGGCGUAAAGCGGGCGCAGACGGUUACUUAAGCAGGAUGUGAAAUCCCCGGGCUCAACCUGGGAACUGCGUUCUGAACUGGGUGACUAGAGUGUGUCAGAGGGAGGUAGAAUUCCACGUGUAGCAGUGAAAUGCGUAGAGAUGUGGAGGAAUACCGAUGGCGAAGGCAGCCUCCUGGGAUAACACUGACGUUCAUGCCCGAAAGCGUGGGUAGCAAACAGGAUUAGAUACCCUGGUAGUCCACGCCCUAAACGAUGUCGAUUAGCUGUUGGGCAGCAUGACUGCUUAGUAGCGAAG
rnacentral:rRNA from 1 species